rnacentral:rRNA from 1 species
CCUAUGAGUCGGGCAGCCCUUGUCACUUGAUCAGCAAUGACUGGUGGCGGGGAGUCUGUUGGGCUCGCGGGCGUAUCUCCACCGGGUGUGACGGUUGGAACUGUUGGGACUGGACCAAAGGCCCGGGAGGAAGUUGGUGCUUCGGCCCCAGCUCCCGGUGUCCUGGCUUCGGACCCGACAGGCACAUGGUCGACUUGUACAGCAAGCAACCCUUCUGUUGCGGUCGGCCAUUCCCUUCC